rnacentral:rRNA from 1 species
CAGUAGCCGCGGUAAUACGAAGGGUGCAAGCGUUACUCGGAAUUACUGGGCGUAAAGCGUGCGUAGGUGGUUGUUUAAGUCUGCUGUGAAAGCCCUGGGCUCAACCUGGGAAUUGCAGUGGAUACUGGGCAACUAGAGUAAGGUAGAGGAUAGUGGAAUUUCCGGUGUAGCAGUGAAAUGCGUAGAGAUCGGAAGGAACAUCUGUGGCGAAGGCGACCAUCUGGGCCAUUACUGACACUGAGGCACGAAAGCGUGGGGAGCAAACAGGAUUAGAUACCCCAGUAGUCCCUGUCUCUUAUAC